rnacentral:rRNA from 1 species
AUACGUAGGUGGCAAGCGUUGUCCGGAUUUACUGGGCGUAAAGGGCGCGUAGGCGGCUGGACAAGUCAGAUGUGAAAUACCGGGGCUUAACUUCGGGGCUGCCUUUGAAACUGUACAUCUUGAGUAUCGGAGAGGCCAGCGGAAUUCCGAGUGUAGCGGUGAAAUUCGUAGAUAUUAGGAAGAACACCAGUGGCGAAGGCGGCCGGCUGGACGGCAACUGACGCUGAGGCGCGAAAGCGUGGGGAGCAAACAGGAUUAGAUACCCUGGUAGUCCGCGCUGUAAACGAUGAAUACUAGGUGUGGGGGGACUGACCCCCUGCGUGCCGGAGUUAACACAAUAAGUAUUCCGCCUGGGGAGUACGGCCGCAAGGUUGA